AUUGAACGCUGGCGGCAGGCCUAACACAUGCAAGUCGAGCGAGAGGCGGGCAGGUGUGAGAUGUCUGGGAAACUGCCUGAUGGAGGGGGAUAACACCUGGAAAAGGGAGCUAAUACCGCAUACCCUCAGAUAUGCACAGAUGGGGUUAGCGAGUAGGUGGGGGAACGGCGCACCUAGGCGACGAGCCCUCGCUGGUCUGAGAGGAUGACCAGCCACACGGGAACUGAGACACGGUCCAGACUCCUACGGGAGGCAGCAGUGGGGAAUAUUGCACAAUGGGCGCAAGCCUGAUGCAGCCAUGCCGCGUGUGUGAAGAAGGCCUUCGGGUUGUAAAGCACUUUCAGCGGGGAGGCGUUACCCGCAGAAGAAGCACCGGCUAACUCCGUGCCAGCAGCCGCGGUAAUAC
rnacentral:rRNA from 1 species